ACGUAGGGUGCGAGCGUUGUCCGGAAUUAUUGGGCGUAAAGAGCUCGUAGGCGGUUUGUCGCGUCUGCCGUGAAAGUCCGGGGCUCAACUCCGGAUCUGCGGUGGGUACGGGCAGACUAGAGUGAUGUAGGGGAGACUGGAAUUCCUGGUGUAGCGGUGAAAUGCGCAGAUAUCAGGAGGAACACCGAUGGCGAAGGCAGGUCACUGGACCAUUACUGACGCUGAUGCACGAAAGCUAGGGGAGCAAACAGGA
rnacentral:rRNA from 1 species